AGGUCACACCCGUUCCCAUUCCGAACACGGAAGUUAAGCUCUUCAGCGCCGAUGGUAGUUGGGGCAUUGCCCCUGUGAGAGUAGGACGUCGCCAAGC
rnacentral:rRNA from 1 species